UGAGCCAAAUCAGCCAUGCAGCUGUUCCAGACCCCAGAUGAUUUGCAUGUUUGUAGAACACAGUCCACUGAACACUGCCUUCAUAUUAGACAGUGUACACACUUUGGUAUUCAGCCCCAGACAGGACACAGGUCAGUCAUGAUAGCUCCAAUACAACUCUUAGGGCUGCUGAUGCUCUGGCUCCCAGGCUUGAACUGUGACAUCCAGAUGACCCAAUCUCCUUCACCUGUGUCUGCAUCUGUGGGAGACAGCGUCACUGUCAGCUGCAGAGCAAGUCAGAGUAUUAGCAAUUACUUAGCCUGGUAUCAGCAAAAACUUGGAGAAGCUCCCAAACUCCUAAUAUAUCAUGCAAAAACUUUGCAAUCAGGCAUCCCAUCAAGGUUCAGUGGCAGUGGAUCUGGCACAGAAUUCACACUCAGCAUCAGCAGCCUGCAGCCUGAAGAUGUUGCCACAUAUUUCUGCCAGCAAUAUUAUAGCUGGCCUCACUGUGAUCCAAGUCAUAACAAAAACCACCCAGAGAUGCAGAAGAGUGAGGCUGGGUUUUCACAUAUGUUCUUUUGGUUCCUGCUAUUGCUGGUGUAAUGUAUCAGAUACAGCCAAGCUUUGAGGAACUAUGAAUGGUUUGGGCAUCAGCAGACCAUGAAAUUGCUCUGGACCAACAGCAGUACAAACAUGACUUAGUCUCUCAAGACUUCAUAAACUAUUGAGGUCAUUGUACCUGAGGAAUCUAAGUGACAUUUUCAGUUGGGUUUUUCAUAUAACAAAACAAAUAUCAUUGUAGAUGAUCCAAAUACUGUUUGGUGUUAAAAACAUAUUUGGAGACUUCAGAAGAGCUAUUUAAUAGCUUUUGGGAGGUGCAAAGUAGUGGUAAUCAAUGUUGAAUCUUAACAUAGAGUGUACUCUGGUGUUUAUUUUGAAAUCAGAUCUUAGUUGGAUAUCAAAGAUUUGAUAUCUAUGUAUGUGGUCUCAAGACCUGUUUCCAAAGCUCUUUUUAUGAUAUUGAUGCUCUCAGUAGCCUGUAUGUAUUCUUGCCUUUAUGUAGAUUUUACUCUAUUGAAGCAUCUGCCUGUAGGUGUUAGUAGAUUUUACAAACUUAUUUGUAUUCUGUUAUAAAACAGGUUCUAUAUUUUAUAAUUAAUAAAUGCCCUUCCAUUUGGGAGCCCUUGCAUUAAAA